ACAGGAAGUAAGGAAACAAAAGGAAGGAGGUUGGUGUGCAGGAGGAGAGAAUAUUAUCUUGGGGAGCCACGACCCAGACUGCUCCAGCACUGAGCAUGGGUCAAGGAUUCAAGUGGCAUAUGUGACCUAGCCAUCCUGAUGUCACAGCUGGGAACACCCACAUUGCAUUCACCUGGACUUAACUAUCACUCAAGCCUUUUUCCUUCUCAAGUUUGCCAAAUUACGCACUGGUAGCGAUCCAACUGCAGAUCACAACAUCCGGUCCCCUUCCUUUGCUUCCCCUGGCCCCAGGGUGUUCAAACUACUGAUCCUGGGUUAGACCUGCACAAGGUCAGAGGGGGAAGCAAACUGCGGGGCGCUCAGAAAGCCUGUGUGACUUCUGGAGAACAGCAACUCCUUGUGGUGUUUAAGGUUUGAGGCUGCAUGUGCUUUGCCUCGUCCCCUGAGGAACAACAGCAUCAACUUGAGGAAGGGAAUGCCUGGUAAAGGAAGAGGAUGGCCCGGGCUGAGUUACCUGAGAAGAAAUCUGCAAUGUCCUCCUCAGUGGAGGUGAAGGGGAGGCCUCGGAGCAGCACAACUCCGUCGUUCAUGGCCUGCGUCUCAUCCCGCAGGUUCUGCAGCAAGCCCUCCACAUCGCUGUCAUGGACUUCAAAAACUGCAAGGAAUGUGGCCAUGGAGCAUCUCCCCACACGGCACUGGAAGGCAGCGCUCUGCGGGCAUUCUCCUAAGGCAGCCUUUGCCCCCUGCAAAGCUCCAUCCUGUUUCCUCCCCCACUCCAGGCUCUGUGGUCCUGCCCCUCUGCUCCCCCUGGCCAGCCUAGGACAUUUUGGCCCAGUGGUGCUUUGCUGGCUGAUCCGCUCACUGCCACCCCCGCCCCUCUUCGCUAAUCAGGGAGCUCUCAUUCCCUAAGGAGCUUCACUGCAAUGUAACUCCUGAUGUUCCAAACCCACCUUUCACGUAGCGUGGGCCCAUGUACCUCAGGUGCUUUUCCAGGGCUCUCUGGACGUCUGCUUUGGACUCCAGCUCGAUCAAGGCAUCCCCCCUGCGCCUCCCAUCCCUGUUUAAGAGGAAGUGUACCCCGUUCUCACCGUUUCGAAUUCUACAGCCUGGGAACCAAGGGACACACAACACAGGAACAUACAGGACUGCAUCAGACACAGGGAUCUCUGUGUCCUCACUACAGUGCUCAGGGCUCAUCCCCUCAGCACUGCAGAACAAAGGGUAGAACACUUGCAUUCCUAACGUGAAGCCUAAGGUCAAACUGACUUGCUUUAGUUCGUAAGUAAGCAGCAAGUAAUUUAAAAACUUGCAUCUGGCCCCUGGGAGGAUGCUGUGCUGUAUGAGAGUAGAGAGGAUCAGCCCUACAAAGAUUUAUAAAAUCCAUGAAUUAGGAUAAAACAACCGUGCAGUUUAAACUAAUUAGUAAAACCCUCGGUUUCUUAAAAAGAGAGGAGUUUUCGCAGCCAUAACGGCCUGUAAGAGCAUCACUUUGAACUGGAUUGCCAUUGCUGUGGAGACACUGAUUAAGAAGGGAAAGACUUGUCCAAUUAAUUUAAGAGACCAUAAGGAUGAGCUUCUACUAAGCAUCUAGCAGUCUGGAUGUUGAUUAUUCCCUUUAUGUGUGUCAGUUGUGAAUAACUUUGCAGCAAUAAUAGGACCUUAUCUUUCUCUGUUAAGUAGCCACGAACUAAUGACUAAUAUUCCUUCUGUUAAGUAAUCAUGAAAUAAUGGGCUCAAUACCAGCAUGCAGAACAGUUAGGCAGGAAAAUGAAAACCCAUACUAUCAAAGAAGGUAAGGACAUCUUCCUCGGUGCACGAGAACGGGAAUCCUUGCGCCCUGACGAGGUAGACAGUGUUGCUUUCCGCCUUGGGUGAGGCGGGCUCCUGCUCCGAGAGGCGACCUUCGUGGGACGGAGCAUCUGUGACCUGUCGCGGACGCAGGAGAAAAGCCCCCGGGUGGUCUGGGAAGACAGCCCUGCUGUCAUUGCUGCAUCCAGAAGGGAUAAGAGGAAAAACCUGGCACUGGCUUCUCCAAAGUGCACACGUGGGGAAGGUAGGUCGUGCUGAACCCAGAAAAAAAAAAUUUAGGAUGAAGCAAAAUGAGUAGGAAAAGGCAAGCUGAAAUCCCAAACCCCAACAGUGGAGGACCCCAGGGAGGGGCUGUGGAGGCUCAGAUCCAGGGUAUUCAGGUAGGUAUCCAAGCAGCUGCUCAGGAAGAGGAUGGGCCAGGCCAAGCAGGACCCCAGCAUCAGGAAGAUCAUGAGAGCCAUGACAUCCAAGAUACUCCUCUCUUUUCCGGCACCCUGUACCUGUAGCCUGGGGAUCGCCAAGUCAGUUGCAAUUUCAAGCCACUGCGGACUAUCAAACCCAAAAUACGAUCUUGUUUUUCAGCACAAGUCUUUCAUCUUGUUGUGCUGCCAACACACUCAUUUAUCAGCAGCCUUGAAUGUUUCUUAUCACCAUUUUGAAAAUGCGAACAAGCUACUUUAUGUCACCCUCUUGUUGCUGGCUGAUGCUUUUGUAAACUAUUCCUUGUAACAAAUUUUCACAUGACAGACCGUAACCCUGAGAAUAGCACGGCCUCUUGACAACAGCGCUCUCAACCCUUCUGAGUUUUCAAGGUAAAUCACAUAUUAUGCACAUUUUCAAUGGAAUGUUGACCUCGGUGCCCAAGUGGUUCACAUUCCAGUCUUUCAUAGCCUACUUGCCAGGUUUCUCUUCAAAACCUUCUUUAAAUAAGCAAGCAAAUGUUAUAGGAGAAAAAAAAAAAAUCAAGAUAACUGUAGGAAUUCAUCUUGAGCACUUAUCUAUACCUAGAUUGGCUUUUGUGCUUUCAGUUGAACUUAACAAGCAGAUCCCUAAAUCUCAGGGACUGAGCGAAUGUUAGGGGUGUUCUUCUCCUGUGACCCAAACUGGGUGCAGGGAAGAGUCUCUGGAAGGGAUGCACAUCUUCCACCCAUUUUUCCUUUGAUUUGCUUGCUUCCCAAGUAGAGGAAAAAAACACCCACUGCUGCUUGUCUGGCAGCUUGUCGGGUUUGUGAGAGUUACCUUUAGAGGGCACCGUGUCGUUGGGCAACGGUUGGCACUGAAGUUUCCAUGGCAUCUCAGAGCUUCCUUAGUUACGUGUCAAAUCAGAGCCUCUGCACCUAUGGUAGAAUAUAAAGGUCAUCCUAAGACAGGAGAAUUUGCAUUUAUUCACUCGACAGAACUGCUGUUGAGUGAAGAUGGCUUAGGAGAGGGAAUCUGCCUCUGUUAAAACAGCACAUCUCAGGAGAUGCGUCCAUACUGCAGCAGACCAAGAAUUUAUCUGCCUUGGAGAAUUUAUCCACAUGGGAGGACGCCUUUUUCUUAAAUAAUGUUAAACAGUUUGUUGUUGAGAAUAAUUGAAACCAGCUAUUCUUUAGGCUGAUCAGCCUUAAAAUGAUGAUCAGAAAAUCAUGGGAUGUGAUACUAAAACCAGUGCUUAUACUGGGAAACAUUCCUUAUCCCUCUAAGUAGUCUGCUGUCAAGAAAAUUUGAUGUUCUCUUAAUUUUCCAAAAUUAUUUAUAUGCUGUAUUAUUAUUUUUCAAAACAAAACGUUGUUUCCCUUCCUGGUAUUCUCUUCUCGAUCCUGUAUACACGUUAAGUUUUGUGAUAUCUCUCUCUCUCUCUUUUUUUUUUUUUUUUUUGGUGCUGCUUUCGGCUGGAAUGUUCUGUGUUUACCGAGCUGUGCUGAAAAGCUGAGAACUUCAGCUCAGGACUGACCGAAGCACUCUGCCAGCCGGAGGGCCCUUCCAGAGGAAUUCUUCAGGCUCUGCAGCGCGCUGGAUAAACGGAGAUGACAGAGGCGAGGCCAGGGCCGUGCCUCCCCCGGCGCGGCGCAGCGGGUCAGCCCUUGUGUAAGGCUGCAGCUCCCUGCCAGCCCCUCGGGUCGGCGGCGGCUGAGGAGAGCCCUUCGUGUGACCCUCAGCCAUCCCAGCAGCCCAGAGUCAACGUGAGACACAAAGCCCGCGUUGCAUAAGCGUCUCUCCUGGCCAAGCAUUUCCUACUGCAGUAACCAACAUUUAAUUUUAACUUGCUGCUGAAGUAAAACGUUCUGUGGGUAGAAGGAAGCGUAUGGGUGGGAACAGGGAAUGGAAGUUGUUCGUGUCCCAACAGGAAUGUGCCAGAAAGAUCAGUGAUGUGUUUCUGUUUGGUUUACGUGGCCAGCUUAGCCUGACAGCAUCUGUUACAAAGUGCCCCAAGACCAAUUCCACGCUUUGGCUAAUAAAACCAAAAGGAGAAUUGCAAACAUAGUGAAAUGCUUUUUAAUUAUGCCAUUGCUGC